AGGUUUUAAGGAGAAUGCAACAUGUUCCAGGGCCUCUUACCUGCGUGAUUCAUCAUCCAGAUAUGCUUGGAGCUUCCUGAUUGGAAUGUUGGCUUCCGACGACCCCUGCACUGAAGAUGGCAUGCAAUCACGUCCUCCUUUGAAGGUUUCUCAAACUGUGAUGCCAGGUCCAUUGGAAUCGGGGUUUCCUUCAGCUUAUCUUCAAAUACCUCAUCAAACACAAGCCUGAUCACAUCAUCCACAUAACUGUAGAAAUAUUGCAGUCAAUAAAUCUUUUGUUUUGAUCAUUUAUUUCCCUGCUUCAUACAUUAAGUUUUUAAUUAUGAAUGUAUUUGAAAUAAAACAUUACUGCUUA